rnacentral:rRNA from 1 species
UCAAAGAGGGGGACCUUCGGGCCUCUCGCGUCAGGAUAUGCCCAGGUGGGAUUAGCUAGUUGGUGAGGUAAGGGCUCACCAAGGCGACGAUCCCUAGCUGGUCUGAGAGGAUGAUCAGCCACACUGGAACUGAGACACGGUCCAGACUCCUACGGGAGGCAGCAGUGGGGAAUAUUGCACAAUGGGCGCAAGCCUGAUGCAGCCAUGCCGCGUGUAUGAAGAAGGCCUUCGGGUUGUAAAGUACUUUCAGCAGUGAGGAAGGCGGGUGUGUUAAUAGCGCAUUCGUUUGACGUUAGCUGCAGAAGAAGCACCGGCUAACUCCGUGCCAGCAGCCGCGGUAAUACGGAGGGUGCGAGCGUUAAUCGGAAUUACUGGGCGUAAAGCGCAUGCAGGUGGUUUGUUAAGUCAGAUGUGAAAGCCCGGGGCUCAACCUCGGAAUUGCAUUUGAAACUGGCAGACUAGAGUACUGUAGAGGGGGGUAGAAUUUCAGGUGUAGCGGUGAAAUGCGUAGAGAUCUGAAGGAAUACCGGUGGCGAAGGCGGCCCCCUGGACAGAUACUG